UACAAGCUGCGUUGUACGUAUUGAUAAUUAAGUUUUAACCUUUAAGCUGUAAUAGGGAGUUUUAUAUCAAAACAAGAAUGUCAGGCCUUUUUCAUUGACUGAGGACAUACAGGACUGUUUUUGCAAACACCCACUUUGAGGAGUGGUGGUUUAAAACUUUAUUACUGAGCUUACGGCAAUGGCGGCUACCUA
rfam:Bacillus sp. FJAT-27997 Scaffold1, whole genome shotgun sequence.